GACGAACGCUGGCGGCGUGCUUAACACAUGCAAGUCGAACGGAAAGGCCCUGCUUUUGUGGGGUGCUCGAGUGGCGAACGGGUGAGUAACACGUGAGUAGCCUGCCCUUGACUUUGGGAUAACUUCAGGAAACUGGGGCUAAUACCGGAUAGGAGCUCCUGCUGCAUGGUGGGGGUUGGAAAGUUUCGGCGGUUGGGGAUGGACUCGCGGCUUAUCAGCUUGUUGGUGGGGUAGUGGCUUACCAAGGCUUUGACGGGUAGCCGGCCUGAGAGGGUGACCGGCCACAUUGGGACUGAGAUACGGCCCAGACUCCUACGGGAGGCAGCAGUGGGGAAUAUUGCACAAUGGGCGGAAGCCUGAUGCAGCAACGCCGCGUGCGGGAUGACGGCCUUCGGGUUGUAUACCGCUUUCGCCUGUGACGAAGCGUGAGUGACGGUAAUGGGUAAAGAAGCACCGGCUAACUACGUG
rnacentral:rRNA from 1 species